rnacentral:rRNA from 1 species
AUUGAACGCUGGCGGCAGGCCUAACACAUGCAAGUCGAGCGAGCGGCGGACGGGUGAGUAAUGUAUGGGGACUGCCCGAUAGAGGGGGAUAACUACUGGAAACGGUAGCUAAUACCGCAUACUAUCGGAUAACCCAUAUGGGAUUAGCUAGUAGGUGAGGUAAUGGCUCACCUAGGCGAUGAUCCCUAGCUGGUCUGACAGGAUGAUCAGGCACACUGGGACUGAGACACGGCCCAAACUCCUACGGAGGCAGCAGUGGGGAAUAUUGCACAAUGGGCGCAAGCCUGAUACAGCCAUGCAGCGUGUAUGAAGAAGGCCCUAGGGUUGUAAAGUACUUUCAGUCGGGAGGCGUUAGCGACAGAAGAAGCACCGGCUAACUCCGUGCCAGCCGCCGCGGUAAUUC